AGUGAACGCUGGCGGUAGGCCUAACACAUGCAAGUCGAACGGCAGCACAGUAAGAGCUUGCUCUUACGGGUGGCGAGUGGCGGACGGGUGAGGAAUACAUCGGAAUCUACUUUUUCGUGGGGGAUAACGUAGGGAAACUUACGCUAAUACCGCAUACGACCUACGGGUGAAAGCAGGGGAUCUUCGGACCUUGCGCGAUUGAAUGAGCCGAUGUCGGAUUAGCUAGUUGGCGGGGUAAAGGCCCACCAAGGCGACGAUCCGUAGCUGGUCUGAGAGGAUGAUCAGCCACACUGGAACUGAGACACGGUCCAGACUCCUACGGGAGGCAGCAGUGGGGAAUUUUGGGCAAUGGGCGGAAGCCUGAUCCAGCCAUGCCGCGUGGGUGAAGAAGGCCUUCGGGUUUUAAAACCCUUUUGUUGGGGAAGAAAAACAGCAGGUUAAAACCCCCCCGUUCUGACGGUACCCAAAGAAAAAGCAACGGCUAACUUCGUG
rnacentral:rRNA from 1 species